rnacentral:rRNA from 1 species
UACGUAGGUGGCGAGCGUUAUCCGGAAUUAUUGGGCGUAAAGGGCGUGUAGGCGGUAUGUUAAGUCUGAUGUGAAAGCCCCCGGCUCAACCGGGGAGGGUCAUUGGAAACUGGCAAACUAGAGUACGGUAGAGGAGUGUGGAAUUCCUAGUGUAGCGGUAAAAUGCGUAGAUAUUAGGAGGAACACCAGUGGCGAAGGCGACACUCUGGACCGGAACUGACGCUGAGGCGCGAAAGCGUGGGGAGCAAACAGG